rnacentral:rRNA from 1 species
AGGGAAUCUUCGGCAAUGGACGAAAGUCUGACCGAGCAACGCCGCGUGAGUGAAGAAGGUUUUCGGAUCGUAAAACUCUGUUGUUAGAGAAGAACAAGGAUGAGAAGAGAAUGUUCAUCCCUUGACGGUAUCUAACCAGAAAGCCACGGCUAACUACGUGCCAGCAGCCGCGGUAAUACGUAGGUGGCAAGCGUUGUCCGGAUUUAUUGGGCGUAAAGCGAGCGCAGGCGGUUCUUUAAGUCUGAUGUGAAAGCCCUCGGCUUAACCGGGGAGGGUCAUUGGAAACUGGGGAACUUGAGUGCAGAAGAGGAGAGUGGAAUUCCAUGUGUAGCGGUGAAAUGCGUAGAUAUAUGGAGGAACACCAGUGGCGAAGGCGGCUUUCUGGACUGUAACUGACGCUGAGGCAUGAAAGCGUGGGGAGCAAAC